AUUGUUUUGGCAGAAAAGUGUAAUAGAUUUAGAAUCUUUAAAUGUAAUUUUAUUUACAGACAAUA
rnacentral:tRNA from 1 species